GUGAGCGUGCAGAUGGCACAAAAGGGGCUCCGCCCUUCCAUCCCCUCGGCUGGGGAGGGGGAAGCCGGGCUCCUGCACCCCACCGCAGCUGUCUCCCAUCCCGAGCACCUACGUUUCAAAUUGAUCCCGGUUUCCUGAAAUCUUGGCUCUGAAGUUGUCGAGGAGGCUUUGGAGAGGCUUUAAAUACAAGCACAUUAACUCCUCUAUUUCAACUCCCUCAUCAUGAGCCAUGGCAGCUCAAAAAUGCCGUCUACGAUGUCACGUCACAAAGGCUUGGAAAAUUAUCCGUCAGCCCCAUUGUCUGCCUGUUUUCUUUUAUUCCUUCUCUACUCAUCAUGCUCGUUGGCAGCCAUGAAUGAAAUGUAACAUGCUAAAUGACUGACAUCCAUUAAGCCUCCUCGACAAACCUCGGCCGUGUUUUGAAAGGCCCCUGGAAGAAAAAGGAUUGUGUGCUCUUUGAAUCCUGGCCUGCUGAAUGGCUGCCAAGCGAGGACUGCUCCAUUCAAAGGGCUGCGUGAAUAAAUGAGAAUAACAUCCUUGGGGACCCAGCGGAUCAGCUUUCUCUGAAAAUGCUCAGCUUCACAAAGGGUCAGAGUCACAAGGAUCAAGAAUCGAAACUCCCUGUAAGCUUUGGCUUCCGUUGAAAGGUGUGAAGAGGGAAUUCUUUACUUGUGUUUGCAGUUUUGGCCUGCAGGGGGCGUUCAAGCGCAACGACGCUAACAGCUGGCGCGCGCUGCAGUGUUUUCAUGCUACCUGAGUAAACUUAGCUCAGAAAAAUGCAGCAAAAGCCAAAGUAAGCAGUCCUACCCCAUCUGUCACUGCGUGGAAGAGAGCUGAGGCAGCCAUAUUUAAUCAGCGCUGAAGUCUCCCUCUGGGUGAUGUUCGUGCCCUUCUGUAAUAUUUUAUUCUAAGCCAUUUCCCAGACAGCAUUAUUGAUUCGUGUCAUUAUUCUCUCCGGAGCUCCGGGAGCCUGUGCAACGUGAUACCAACUGCAGUUCUCUUUAUGAACAUAACCUCAGAACCGAAAAGUAAGUUCUAAUUUGGAGUCCAGCAGCAUACUUAAAAGAAAAGAAGCGAAGCUCUUCACUUUUGGGAAACUGUUGGAAGGACACACGUGCUGGAACUGAAUGAAGCGCCAAGGGAGAGGAGGUGAUUCUGAGAACAGUAGCAUCAGAACUUUCCUUCAGUCAUAGAGUUCAAGGCAGCAUCCACAGAUGGAUGAAAGUGGACAGAAGAGAUCCUGUCUUCUUUGGCCUUUCAAAAAACAACAAACAGAACAAAACAAAGCAACACAACUCCUGAAUGCAAGACCCUUUCCCAGAAAUACCCCGGAUGAUUUUUGAAAUUGGAACAUAUCACUCUGACAUUUGGAUAUAUCUUACAAAUGAUUGCAAUUACUAUGCUCAUUUAUGAAUAUUAGGGAAUAAGAACAGUAUAAAAAUUUCUAAUCAAAAUGAGAAUUCUUAAAAGGCUUACCAAGGAAAACAUGGCUUUCUUGUUUUUGAACACAUUUUAGGGUUGACAUGGAGAGAAUGGCUUGGCAUUAUUCCCCUGUAGGAAAUAUAAAUAAUUUCUAAAGUUUGUUUAGCAUUUACAUAUUCUUUAAAAUGCUAGAGUGAGCGCUUAAUCUCGUUCUUUCUUAUACUCACUGAGCCAGGUGGGUACUACUAAUAUCACCCCAUUUUAUAGAUGAGAAAUGUGAGGUGCAGAGAGGUCACAUCAUUAUUCCACUGCAUUCUCCUGAUGAAUUUCACAAAAGGCUAACUCUGGAAACUCAAGAGGCUUGAUGAAUGCCUGCC
ensembl:lncRNA